GAGUUUCCACGAGAUGUUUCUGCCACGUUUACCUCAAUCAGUGGGUUGUGAUGUAAUAGUGACGUCAUCACAACCUGCAUGAAGGAGGUAAAUUUGGCGGUUCUAUCAACAAAGUUUCCCA
rnacentral:precursor_RNA from 9 species